rnacentral:rRNA from 1 species
GCAAGUCGAGCGAACGAUAAGGAGCUUGCUCCUUUGACGUUAGCGGCGGACCCCUGAGUAACACGUGGAUAACCUACCUAUAAGACUGGGAUAACUUCGGGAAACCGGAGCUAAUACCGGAUAACAUAUUGAACCGCAUGGUUCAAUAGUGAAAGGCGGCUUUGCUGUCACUUAUAGAUGGAUCCGCGCCGUAUUAGCUAGUUGGUAAGGUGACGGCUUACCAAGGCAACGAUACGUAGCCGACCUGAGAGGGUGAUCGGCCACACUGGAACUGAGACACGGUCCAGACUCCUACGGGAGGCAGCAGUAGGGAAUCUUCCGCAAUGGGCGAAAGCCUGACGGAGCAACGCCGCGUGAGUGAUGAAGGUCUUCGGAUCGUAAAACUCUGUUAUCAGGGAAGAACAAAUGUGUAAGUAACUGUGCACAUCUUGACGGUACCUGAUCAGAAAGCCACGGCUAACUACGUGCCAGCAGCCGCGGUAAUACGUGGGUGGCAAGCGUUAUCCGGAAUUAUUGGGCGUAAAGCGCGCGUAGGCGGUUUUUUAAGUCUGAUGUGAAAGCCCACGGCUCAACCGUGGAGGGUCAUUGGAAACUGGAAAACUUGAGUGCAGAAGAGGAAAGUGGAAUUCCAUGUGUAGCGGUGAAAUGCGCAGAGAUAUGGAGGAACACCAGUGGCGAAGGCGACUUUCUGGUCUGCAACUGACGCUGAUGUGCGAAAGCGUGGGGAUCAAACAGG